rnacentral:rRNA from 1 species
UACGGGGGGGCAAGCGUUGUUCGGAAUUACUGGGCGUAAAGGGUUCGUAGGUGGCUUGCUAAGUCAGACGUGAAAUCCCUCAGCUUAACUGGGGAACUGCGUCUGAGACUGGUGAGCUUGAGUGCAGGAGAGGAACGCGGAAUUCCAGGUGUAGCGGUGAAAUGCGUAGAUAUCUGGAGGAACACCGGUGGCGAAGGCGGCGUUCUGGACUGCUACUGACACUGAGGAACGAAAGCCAGGGAGCAAACGGG